rnacentral:rRNA from 1 species
GGGUAAAAGCACUGUUUCGGUGCGGGCUGGGGAGACCGGUACCAAAUCGAGACAAACUCAGAAUACCCGAUGCACACACAGCCAGUGAGACGGUGGGGGAUAAGCUUCAUCGUCAAGAGGGAAACAGCCCAGACCACCAGCUAAGGUCCCCAAAUCAUCGCUAAGUGAUAAAGGAGGUGAGAUUGCCUAGACAACUAGGAGGUUUGCCUAGAAGCAGCCACCCUUGAAAGAGUGCGUAAUAGCUCACUAGUCAAGCGAUCUUGCGCCGAAAAUGAACGGGGCUAAGCGAUGUACCGAAGCUGUGGGAUUACUAAAAAUAAUCGGUAGGGGAGCGUUCCGUAGUAGGAAGAAGCAGUAGCGGUAAGCAGCUGUGGACGAGACGGAAGUGAGAAUGUCGGCUUGAGUAGCGCAAACAUUGGUGAGAAUCCAAUGCCCCGAAACCCUAAGGGUUCCAGAGCCAGGUUCGUCCACUCUGGGUUAGUCGGGACCUAAGGCGAGGCCGAAAGGCGUAGUCGAUGGACACAGGGUCAACAAUCCCUGACUAUGGUAUGGGAGCAUUGCUAGGGACGCAUGAAAGAUAGCUACGCCCUGAUUGGUUUGGGAGGAGUUUACGAACUCCGAGUAGUGAAGGAUAGUGUCAAGAAAAGCUAGUAAUGUGAUGAACAUAUCGUACCCGUACCCGAAACCGACACAGGUAGGGAGGUUGAGAAUACCAAGGGGCGCGAGAUAACUCUCUCUAAGGAACUCGGCAAAAUGGCCCCGUAACU